GACGAACCGUGCGAACGUUAUUCGGAAUCACUGGGCUUAAAGGGUGCGUAGGCGGUCUGUCAAGUCAGGGGUGAAAUCCUUCGGCUUAACCGGAGAACAGCCCCUGAUACUGAUGGGCUCGAGGGAGAUAGAGGCAGCCGGAACUACCGGUGGAGCGGUGAAAUGCGUUGAUAUCGGUAGGAACGCCAGAGGCGCAAGCGGGCUGCUGGAUCUCUUCUGACGCUGAUGCACGAAAGCUAGGGGAGCAAACGGG
rnacentral:rRNA from 1 species